AUUGAACGCUGGCGGCGUGCCUAACACAUGCAAGUCGAGCGGUAACAGGUGUAGCAAUACAUGCUGACGAGCGGCGGACGGGUGAGUAACGCUUGGGAAUCUGCCUAUUAGUGGGGGACAACCCGGGGAAACUCGGGCUAAUACCGCAUACGCUCUACGGAGGAAAGCCGGGGACCGCAAGGCCUGGCGCUAAUAGAUGAGCCCAAGUCGGAUUAGCUAGUUGGUAGGGUAAUGGCCUACCAAGGCGACGAUCCGUAACUGGUCUGAGAGGACGACCAGUCACACCGGAACUGAGACACGGUCCGGACUCCUACGGGAGGCAGCAGUGGGGAAUAUUGGACAAUGGGCGAAAGCCUGAUCCAGCGACGCCGCGUGGGUGAAGAAGGCCUGCGGGUUGUAA
rnacentral:rRNA from 1 species